CAUAUGCACGGACCCCAUAAAAGAAAUAUGAGGGAUAACUGGGAUAAAAAUUUCCGUGAAGGCAGCAUCAUAGAAUGGAUUAUCUCACUUCUUUUCAUCUUUUUCUUAUUAUUCUUUCCU
rnacentral:ribozyme from 12 species